rnacentral:rRNA from 1 species
AAAGGGUGCGUAGGUGGCGAUGUAAGUCUGGUGUGAAAUUUCGGAGCUCAACUCCGAAACUGCAUUGGAUACUGCGUUGCUAGAGGAUUGUAGAGGAGAGUGGAAUUCACGGUGUAGCAGUGAAAUGCGUAGAUAUCGUGAGGAAGACCAGUUGCGAAGGCGACUCUCUGGGCAAUUCCUGACACUGAGGCACGAAGGCCAGGGGAGCAAACGGGAUUAGAUACCCGAGU